AACUAUUUAUUUAUCACAUUAAAAUGUUUUUUUCUUUCCCCUGUCAUGAUUUAUGUGCACAAUGGAGCCUAUCAGCCUUUUGUGGUUAAGUUAGAAGCACUCGUUAGCUU